rnacentral:lncRNA from 1 species
UUUUUUUGUUAGAUGCAGUCUUUCAAAAUGAGUAAAUAAGCCCCAACACUAGAAGGUCAAAGAUUGAUUGGAGACUUCAAACCAUGAGCCCUCAAUGCGAUUUAAGCCUGAUAAAAGCCAUUUUCCCAAAUGUAGUUUUCAUAUUAAGUGGUAAAAGCCAGUGAAGAGUAAAAAGCAUCAUUAUGUGAUGGCUUGAAGUAAAUUUAGAACUUCAUUGAGAAAUCUAAGGUUACAUGUAUAUAUCAACAUAUACAUACACACACACACACACACACACAUACAUAUAUAUAUCCACUUAAGAAACUGUUUCUUUUUAAGCUUCUGUCUUUUGAAAGCAUAAAUUACUUAGUUCAGUUGAUUAUUUUUAAGUCUAUAUAAAGUGGGUUUCAGAAUACCAUUUCUAGCAAGUGUAAAGCCUCAGAAAAAAAAAAAGUGAAAACAAGUGUUACUUAAAAGAUCUAUUUUCUAAACCAAUAUCUUUGGGGGAAAGGGCUAAAUAUAAGCAAAAUACAUAUUUUCUCCUUCUGUAAUUAAAAUUAAAAUUUAAUCAUUAGCCCUGAAACGUGAAGGAAUAUUUCUUAAGUCAAUGUUGAAAGACUCCAACAGCAUAUUUCUAAGCAUUUAAUAACUACUGUCUGAUCAGUUGAGUUUUAAGAAUUUCUCAUCGAAUUAACAAUGCUGAGGCAAUUAGUGCGGAAAACGCAAAAGGUUUUCUAAAGCCUUCCAAGAGUGUACCAUAAACUGGAAAGACAGCAGCAUUUGUACAAUAGCUUCUAGUUUAAAGUUAUUUUCACAGAGAAAAGUUUUUUCUUUGUACGAAAUGUACAAUUAAAAGAACUGCAGCGUAAAUGUUACCUGCAGGACUACGAACAUGUGGAAUAUAUGUUUAAAAUAUAUAAAUAUAUAAAUAUAAAGACAUGGAAUUAGCUGAGACGAAGGAAAGAGAAAUUGCGAAAUAAUGGAUGAAACCACCGCAGGUGCACCUACGUAUGUACGAGCGUGGAGGGUCGGGGAGCAGGAGGAGCAGAGAAGGCGCAGGCGCAGUGAAGAGAAAGGGCGGGGAAAAGGCUCAGGUCCCCUGCGGUUGGCUCAACACUGGGGACCAGGCGGGGGUUCAAGAGUUGGGCCUUGGAAGAAUGGAGGAGCAAUGCUUAACCGAACAGAAGUGUCUUGCAGAGAAGCAGAAGAACCGAAGGGAGACCAAGACGUAGGCUUAGGUUAAAGGGCUUCCACUGAACAAGUCAAGUGGGAGCUCUGCCCACGUCUCGUGGUUUUGAAGGAUGUCAAGAAGCUCAGGCUUCUCUCUGGUUUCCGUGAACAGCUGCAAAGGCGCACGUCUUCGCCUUUGUCCUGAGACAGCUGUCUCUCACUGUUUGUCCCUCUGCUCUCUUUCUACCAUAAUGUAUACCCUUCACUUCUAAGCGUCGGGAAAAUGCGAUCCGCACUUCUGUCCUUCACUUCCUCAUCCUCAGUUCGUGUGGGGCUUUUGUCAUUGUCCCUCAUGUGUCCCUGAACCUGCCAAGGCUGUUUGCAAUGAAAUCUUGUGUCCAAUUCCCAGCCCUCUCCUGAUGGCUUUCUGUGGACCUAAGCAGGGUUAACGGCUUCCUCCUGAAAACUCAACUCACGAGGUCUCGGUGACGUCUUUUCCCAAUAGUGCCUUUGUUCCCUAGCUGCUGCUGUUUCGUCUGCUUCCAGGGCUCCUCCUUCUCUGCCUGCUGCUUAGUUGCCCAAAGGCAGGUUUCCAUUCCCCUUCUCCUUCCCUGCGGUCAGAACACGCUCUGGGGCACCUGCGCCCCCCAGUCUCCAUCACUGUGGCUAUUCUGACUCCCCGGGGACUCAGGUCUUCUGAGGUCUGAGCUUAUAUCAUUUGGAGCACCCUCUUUAAGAAAAGGAAUACAGACGUCUGAACACAAAAUUAGUUUAAAAAAUGAAUACAGAUGACAAAUACCACAGUAUCAUAGAAACCAAAAGAGUAACACAUUUUCAUUAAUUGUCUGACACAGUUCUAUGCUUUGCUCCCCUUUCAUUGAUUAUUUUGUACUAUUGUGGAGAGAUGAGAAAGAUAAAUCAGUCUUUCAUCUGGUGUGGUUAGUCGGACGUGGUUUCUUACUACUGAUAUUUUGAAUGCAAAAAAAAAAGUGAGCACAGAUGAACUUACCGUGUGUAACCUUCUUAUAGGUUUGUGUCCAAUGAACAUAGGAAUUCAGAUAAAGUUCAUUUCUUAAAUUCCCUUCAAAAUAAAAAAAUAUGGUGCAUUUAUAAUUAUGUGCUUCAUCAUCAAAUAUUGUGAAAGAAAAUGAACUUCUGUUUCGAUCAAGCAUUAGUAGAAGUCGUUGAUUCAGUUUAUUUCCAUAUCCCCUAUUGCUGCUGUAUGUCAGCGCCCCAGAAUUUCCUCUGCCUUUGCAACAGCCACCGAACAGGCACCCUCUUUGCCAGUCUUGCCUCACCAUGACUCCCUUGUGUAUUUCUGAGAGCUUUUUGAUCAGAAAAUCAUAUAAUCACCCUCUUACCUAAACUGUUAAUGGACACUCAUUAUGCUCAAGAUAGUUUCCAAACUUCUUAGUCUGGCAAUCAAAACCCAUUCCUAACAUCAUUCCUGCUUCUUAUUUGAACCUCACCUCUCAUGGAAUAUCCACCCCUCAUCUCGACACCAUCCUACAUUCCAAUGAGACCAAAAUGUUAGAAUUGGCUAUGCCAUGGUCAAAUAUGUAUAUCCACUGCUCCUUCUGCCAGAAGUAUCACCACAUAAAAACUUGUUUAAACCCCUCUGGUCUUUUAAACUCCUCUCCAAAAUGCCUUUUCUGUCCACUGACACCACUCUUUAUCCCUCUAACCUAAAUCACGACUCACCAGAUGAACCUAUUCUGUAUCUUUACCAGGGUAUGAAUCAUGUAUUAUAAUUGAUAUUCAUAUUUUUAAAAAUCCAUUAAUUUGGUAGGCAAGGCUCUGAUACCUGGAGGGAACUGUGAUAUUGAUAUCUUGUGAAAUGUUCCGUGAGCGUUGAUAAUAAUCCAAAAUUCCCAGAAAGCCAGAAGCUAUAUAAUUUUCAUAAACUCAAGACUUUCUAAUCUCAGAUCAUCAAAAUACCUGCUCAAAUACCUUUAUGUUUUUUAAGCCCCUUAGGUGACUGCAGGUCAUCUUGUUCAAUAAGAUGAGGACUGGUUAAAGUGGGGAAUCAUAAAAAUAAAUACAUAAAUAAAUAAGGAAGCACUACCUAAAAUAUUUUUUCUGUGAGUAUGAAUCAGUGAUUUGGGUUUCAGUUUGUCGUCCUUAUCUUUUGACUUUAGACUCAUCAUAAGAAUUCUUCACAUUACAGUUCCAGUUUCUUUAAAGUGAAGGAGAACUUAAAGAAAUAGGCUGAAUGGAAUUCCUGUCAUGGCUCAGUGGUUAACGAAUCUGACUAGGAACCAUGAGGUUGCGGGUUCGCCCCCUGGCCUUGUUCAGUGGGUUAAGGAUCCGGCGUUGCCAUGAGCUGUGGUGUAGGUAGCAGAUGUGGCUCGGACCUGGCAUUGCUGUGGCUGUGGUGUAGGCCGGGAGCUACAGCUCCAAUUAGACCCCUAGCCUGGGAACCUCCAUAUGCCAUGGUAGCAGCCCUAGAAAAGGCAAAAAGACAAAAAAAAAAAAAAAAAAA